GAUGAACGCUGGCGGCGUGCCUAAUACAUGCAAGUCGAGCGAACAGAUGAGGAGCUUGCUCCUCUGACGUUAGCGGCGGACGGGUGAGUAACACGUGGAUAACCUACCUAUAAGACUGGGAUAACUUCGGGAAACCGGAGCUAAUACCGGAUAAUAUAUUGAACCGCAUGGUUCAAUAGUGAAAGACGGUUUUGCUGUCACUUAUAGAUGGAUCCGCGCCGCAUUAGCUAGUUGGUAAGGUAACGGCUUACCAAGGCAACGAUGCGUAGCCGACCUGAGAGGGUGAUCGGCCACACUGGAACUUAGACACUGGCCAUACGCCUACGGGAGGCAGCAGUAGGGAAGCUUGCGCAAUGGGCGAAAGCUUGACGGAGCAACUCCGCGUGAGUGAUGAAGUUCUUCGGAUCGUAAAACUCUGUUAUUAGGGAAGAACAAAUGUGUAAGUAACUAGGCACGUCUUGACGGUACCUAAUCAGAAAGCCACGGCUAACUACGUG
rnacentral:rRNA from 1 species